UACGUAGGGGGGCAAGCGUUGUCCGGAAUCAUUGGGCGUAAAGCGCGUGUAGGCGGCUCGGUAAGUCCGCUCUGAAAGUCCGGGGCUCAACCCCGGGAGGCGGGUGGAUACUGUCGAGCUCGAGUCCGGAAGAGGCGAGUGGAAUUCCUGGUGUAGCGGUGAAAUGCGCAGAUAUCAGGGAGGAACACCGGUGGCGAAGGCGGGUCUCCUGGGCCGAUACUGACGCUGAGGAGCGAAAGCGUGGGGAGCGAACAGG
rnacentral:rRNA from 1 species